GGCAAUAGCAACUAGAAAGAUUAGAUAGGAAACUUAGGGGGCAGUGAGGUUAUGUUAAAGGGGGAGAAACAACUCAGAAAAGGAGGAUGAGACUGGUUGCACAACUCAAAGAAUGUAAUCAACGUCACUGAAUUGUACAUGUAGAAACUGUUGAAUUGGUAUAUGAUUUGCUGUUUAUAUUCUCAGUAACAACAACAAAAUAAACAAAAUUAAAAAAGAAACAAUGAUGUAUCAACAUAUACUCAUCAGACUAGUGAUAAUUUAAAACUUUUUAUGGAGCUCCAGUGGUGCAGUGGGUAAGAACUUGGGUGCUAACCAAAAGGUCAGCAGUUCAAAUGCACCAGCCACUCCUUGAAAGCCCUGUGGGUCAGCUCUACUCUGUCCUAUAGGGUUGCUAUUAGUUGGAAUUGACUCAAUGGCAAUGGAUUUGGUGUGGUUUGGCUUGGCUUAUAGUAUCUUUGAGGAGCCCUGGUGGUGCAAAAAUUAAGCAAUCAGCUGCUAAUUGCAGAUUAGUGAUUCAAACUCGCCCAGCAGCUCCUCAAGAGAAAGGCCUGGCAAUCUGCUCCCGUAAAGGUUAGAGCCUAGAAAACCCUAUACAGCAGUUCAACUGUGUCACAUGGGGUCACUAGGAGUUGAAAGGUGCUCAAUGGCACCUAACAACAAUGACACAAUACAUUUACUAUCAAGGCUAUCAAGAAGGGUGCUCUCUCAUACAUUAAUGGUGCUUGUUUGUUUAUUUGUGGGAAGUAAUUUGGCAAUUUAUUUUAAAAUAAAAUACAUUAAGAAAAGGAUCAUUAAGAAUGGUGGAAAACAAACCAAAAGAAACUAAACCUGCAGAAUGAAAGGCAAAAGAAAGUGUCAGGAAGGAAGAGAUAAACACUAUUGCCAAAGGGUACAGAAAGCUCAACUAGGAAGAUGAAAAAUGAACCUUAAAUUUGGAAAUUAAAGGGGAGAUUAUGGCCUUAAGGAUAAGAGUUUCAGAAGCAUAGUGGAGAGAACAUGAUUUGAAAAGAGCAUAGAGCUGAAAAUGUGGAGUUGGUAAGUGUAAGCAACUCUUAGAUACACACACAUACACUUUCAAAACAUGGUAGGAAAACAAAAGAGAAUAAUAAGAUACUAAUUGUGAGGUAGGAUUGGGGAAUGAUUUUUACAAAGAGGGAGAGAUCUGAGUGUCUUAUGUGGAAGAUAAGGAACUAUUAAAGAAGGGAAACUUAAGUUACAGGAAAAAAAUAGGAUAGUAGAUGGAACAAGCUUCUGGGAGAUUUGUGAGGGCAGAAGACACAGUACAGAAAAAAGUUGUUACCCUUAAGAGAUAAGGAAUAGCCCUUCCUUUGAAGAUCUCCUCACAGCUUCCUUCUCUGGUUACUGAUUUGAUGGGGAGAAAGAGAAAAACAGGUAGUUCACAGAUGGUUAUUUCUGAUUUUCAUAAGGCCCUAAAACAACCAGUUUCACUCUCGUGUUGUAAGACAGAUUUAACUCUAGUUUAAGGGUAAUAGAUAAUUAUUGAGUUUUGCAACAAUAUCCUACAUUUUUUCUACCUAUAUACUGGUGGCAAAAAAGGUAAGGCUAAUUUUAGAAACUCAAAAUGUCUUGCAAUUUCAUAAUUGUUCAGAAAUAUUGAAAGCAACUGCUUUAUAGCUAGCUGGUGCUUAGAAAUCAUUCUCUUAACUUUUCAGGUAUUUUAUAUUUUUACACAUCCAUACAAAUAUGGAAGUCCAUAAAACUGUCAUAAAAUGAGCAUAACAUAAAACAUAACAUUAAAAAAAAGGGGGAGAGAAAAAAAAAAACCUGCACACUUUUUAUAUCUAAGAUCAUCUUUAAGCUCAAAGUCAAACAUGUAAAUUCUAACAUUUUCUCUAAAUCUGAUACAUAAACAGGAGUCCUUUGGAGAGACUAAAUAUAAGCAAAAAAUGAAAAAAACAAUUCUAAAUUCCACAUGCCAUAGCCAGGUGCAGAGGAAACACAAAACUUAAAUUCAGCUAAUGGGUUUAUGUGAGCAAACCAGAGAAUUAAAGAUCCAUAGGUCUCAUCAGAAGCUUUUCUUCCUCUUUGAAACUAUAUCCCUCCUGUUGCCUGGUUAAGGUUUUGCAUUUUUAAGAGGCUGUGGCAGGUGCUUGCAAUAUGCACAGUUCAGUUUAAUUUUCCUCUGGGUGAACAAGAAGUCAGCUGCCUGGGGCUGAAGCUUAUUUGCUGUGGACACAGAUUAACUCUCCACCGUUUUCACCCUGCUCUGUGUUCUUAGAAGCUUAUAUUUAAGGACGACAUCAAUGACUCCCUUGGCUUCACCUCCUAUUGAGUUUGACCAAAGGCACUAGCAGGAGAUUUGGAGGGCUAGGGGAGAGAGUGUAUGACAAAGGAUGUACAUCAAAUGCAACAUCAACACAAACAAAUUACCAAGGAAAUGGAAUUUAUGAGAAAGAAGAGAAGUACAAUCUCUGGGCCAGACAACAUGCUCCGUGCUGAGAAUACUGCGUUGAACCAAGCAGACAAAAUCCUUGCCUUCAUGGAAAUUACAUUCUACUGGGGACAGACCAGCAUACACAUUAAUUCAUAUUUAAAUUCUGAAAUCUUCAGUGUAUACAACUUUCCCAAUAAGUACCAAAUGAUCAUGAAAGGAAACUAAACAUGCUAAAGAGAAUAUUUGGAGCAUAUCAUGACCAAGUAGUACAGAAGAACAGACACUGGCAAGGUACAAUGAAGGAUUCUCUGGCAAAGAAUAUUGAAUAUACCAUGGACUGUCAAAAGAAUGAACAAAUCUGUCUUGGAAGAAGUAUAGCCAGAAUGCUCCGUAGAAGCGAGGAUGGCGAGGAUACGUCUCACAUAGUUUGGACACGUUAUCAGGAGGGAUCAGUUGCUGGAGAAGGACAUUAUGCUUGGUAAAGUUGACAGUAGGCAAGAAAGAGGAAGACCAUCAAUGAGAUGGACUGACACAGUGGCUGCAACAAUGGGCUCUAGCAUAACAAUGAUUUUGAGGGACGUGCAGGACCGUGAAGUGUUUUGUUCUGUUGUACGUAGGGUUACUGUGAGUCGGAACUGACUUUUGACAGCACCUAACAAUGACAACAAUAUGUUAAGAUUCAUUCAAGUUUUGAAGAACACCAAAGACACAAGGAAAAUAUGAGCCCAAGAGAAAGAAAGGGCCACAUAAACCAGAGACUCCAUCAGCCUGAAACCAAAAGAACUAGAUGGUGCCUGGUUACUACCAGUGACUGCCCUGACAGGGAACACAAUAGAGAAUUCCUGAUGGAGCAGGAGAAAAGUGGGAUGCAGACCUCAGAUUCCAGUAAAAAUACCAGACUUAGUGGUCUUACUGAGGUUGGAAGGACUCCAGAGGUCAUGGCUCCUGGGCUCUCUGUUAGCCCAAAAGUAAAGCCAUUCUCGAGGCCAACUUUUCAGACAAAAAUUAGACUGGACUAUAAGACAUAAAAUGAUACCACUGGGGAGUGUACUUCUUAGCUCAAGAGACACCUGAGACUAUGUGGGCAGCUCCUGUCCGGAGGCAAGAUGAGAAGGCAGAGGGGAACAGGAACUGGCUGAAUGGACAAGGGAAAUACAGGGUAGAGAGAAGGAGUGUGCUGUCACAUUAUAGGGAGAGCAACUAGGGUCACGUAACAAUGUGUGCAUAAGAUUUUAUAUGAGAAACUGACUUGAAUUGUAAACUUUCACUUAAAGCACAAUAAAAAAUAAAAAGAUUUAUUCAGAUUAUACAGCAUGCAGAUAUGAUUUUAAAAAUUUGUCAUAGAAGUUCAACUUUAAAUUUUUGAGACCAUAAUUAAUUUAAAAGUGC